rnacentral:rRNA from 1 species
CCUACGGGUGGCAGCAGUGGGGAAUAUUGGACAAUGGGCGAAAGCCUGAUCCAGCCAUGCCGCGUGUGUGAAGAAGGCCUUCGGGUUGUAAAGCACUUUCAGUGGGGAAGAAAGCCUUGGGGCUAAUACCCUCGAGGAAGGACAUCACCCACAGAAGAAGCACCGGCUAACUCCGUGCCAGCAGCCGCGGUAAUACGGAGGGUGCGAGCGUUAAUCGGAAUUACUGGGCGUAAAGCGCGCGUAGGCGGUCUGAUAAGCCGGUUGUGAAAGCCCCGGGCUCAACCUGGGAACGGCAUCCGGAACUGUCAGGCUAGAGUGCAGGAGAGGAAGAUAGAAUUCACCGUGUAGCAGUGAAAUGCGUAGAGAUCGGGAGGAAUACCAGUGGCGAAGGCGGCCUUCUGGACUGACACUGACGCUGAGGUGCGAAAGCGUGGGUAGCAAACAGGAUUAGAUACCCGAGUAGUC